rnacentral:rRNA from 1 species
UAGUAUGAAUGGCAUCACGAGGGUUAAACUGUCUCCUUUUUCUAAUCAGUGAAACUAAUCUCCCCGUGAAGAAGCGGGGAUUAUUCUAUAAGACGAGAAGACCCUAUGGAGCUUAAAACAAACUUACACUUGCUUUUAUAUAUUAAACUUCCUGAACAUUCACAUAAACUAUAGCACAAAUGAUAAUUAGUUUUCGAUUGGGGUGAUCAUGGAGAAAAAAACAACCUCCACGACGAUAAGGGAGCCCCCCUGAGCCAAGAGCCACAACUUUAAGCACUAAAAAAUUAACGCACCUUGACCCAAUUACUUGAUCAACGAACCAAGUUACCCUAGGGAUAACAGCGCAAUCCACUUCAAGAGCUCCUAUCGACAAGUGGGCUUACGACCUCGAUGUUGGAUCA